UGUCACCCCCCCAUUGUGGCGACAGCUGCUCAUGGCUCUGCUGGUGACGGCGCCGGGAGAUCCCGCAUGGCUCAGCCCAGAGGGGGUGACCUGCGGGACAGGGGACACGCGCGGGGGACAAUGAGUGGGUGGCCGGGAUGGGGACGGGGGUGUCGCGAAUGGAUUUGGGUGAUGGUUCCUGGAGAGGUGAGGUGGCCUCGGUGGGGGUGGUGGUGAUGUGUCCUGGCCGUGGGGACAUGACUUGGCCAUGGGGACACGUCUUGGCCGUGGGGACACGUCCUGUCCUGGCCAUGGGGACACGUCCUGGCCGUGGGGACACGUCCUGUCCUGGCCAUGGGGACACGUCCUGUCCUGGCCAUGGGGACACGUCCUGGCCAUGGGGACACGUCCUGGCCGUGGGGACACAUCCUGGCCAUGGGGACAUGUCUUGGCCAUGGGGACACGUCCUGUCCUGCCCAUGGGGACACGUCCUGGCCAUGGAGACACGUCCUGUCCAUGGGGACACAUUCUAUUGUGGGGACACAUCCUGGCCGUGGGGACACGUCCUGUCUAUGGGGACAUGUCCUGUCCUGUCCUGUCUAUGGGGACAUGUCCUGGCCAUGGGGACGUGUUCUGCCCAUGGGGACAUGUCCUAUUGUGGGGACACGUCCUGGCCAUGGGGACACAUCCUGUUGUGGGGACAUGUCCUGUCUAUGGGGACAUGUCCUGGCUAUGGGGACAUGUCCUGGCUAUGGGGACACGUCCUGGCUAUGGGGACAUGUUCAGCCCGUGGGGACACAUCCUGUUCAUGAGGACAUAUCUGGCCCAUGGAGACACGUCCUGCCCAUGGGGAUAUGUCCUGUCCUGGCUAUGGGGACACGUCCUGUCCUGCCCAUGGGGAUACAUCCUGGCCAUGGGGACACGUCCCAUCCGUGGGGACAUGUCCUAUCCAUAUGGACACGUCCUGUCCUGGCCAUGGGGACACGUCCUGUCCUGUCUGUGGGGACAUGUCCCAUCCGUGGGGACAUGCACUGGUCAUGGGGACACAUCUUGUCUGUGGGGACGUGUUCUGUCCUGGCCAUGGGGACACGUCCUGUCCAUGGGGACGUGUCCUGUCCAUGGGGACACGUCCUGUCCUGUCCAUGGGGACACAUCCUGGCCAUGGGGACACGUCCCAUCCGUGGGGACAUGUACUGGCCAUGGGGACACAUCUUGUCUGUGGGGACGUGU
rnacentral:lncRNA from 1 species